AUACGUAGGUGGCAAGCGUUGUCCGGAAUUAUUGGGCGUAAAGCGCGCGCAGGCGGUCCUUUAAGUCUGAUGUGAAAUCUUGCGGCUUAACCGCAAGCGGUCAUUGGAAACUGGGGGACUUGAGUACAGAAGAGGAGAGUGGAAUUCCACGUGUAGCGGUGAAAUGCGUAGAGAUGUGGAGGAACACCAGUGGCGAAGGCGGCUCUCUGGUCUGUCACUGACGCUGAGGCGCGAAAGCGUGGGUAGCGAACAGGAUUAGAUACCCUGGUAGUCCACGCCGUAAACGAUGAGUGCUAGGUGUUGGGGGUUUCCACCCUCAGUGCUGCAGCAAACGCAUUAAGCACUCCGCCUGGGGAGUACGGCCGCAAGGCUGAA
rnacentral:rRNA from 1 species